CUUUCAUGUUUAUUAGCCGGUCUAAUUUCAACAUUGCUGUGUCUCAAGGAAUAGAGUGGUCCAAACAGAAGGAGAGAGAUAGGGGAAUGGCUGAUUGGUGGAACAGUCAGAACCCACACAAUUGUCAGUUAAAUUCACCAUCUUAUAUGGAUGUAGUUCAUGGCACCCCAAAACAAUUACAGUAGUAACAUCAAAGAUCACCAGGCACAGAUCAGCAUAUCAUCUAUAAGUCACCAAAAUGUGACACAGAGACACAAGGUGAGCACAUGCUAUCAGAAAAAUGGUCCCAACAGACUGGCUGGAAACAGGGUUGCCACAACCUUCAAUUUGUA